rnacentral:rRNA from 1 species
CCUACGGGAGGCUGCAGUGAGGAAUAUUGGUCAAUGGGCGCGAGCCUGAACCAGCCAAGUCGCGUGAGGGAAGACGGCCCUACGGGUUGUAAACCUCUUUUGUCGGGGAGCAAAGCGAGUCACGUGUGACUCAUUGAGAGUACCCGAAGAAAAAGCAUCGGCUAACUCCGUGCCAGCAGCCGCGGUAAUACGGAGGAUGCGAGCGUUAUCCGGAUUUAUUGGGUUUAAAGGGUGCGCAGGCGGAGGUGCAAGUCAGCGGUAAAAUUGCGGGGCUCAACCCCGUACUGCCGUUGAAACUGCAUCCCUUGAGUGCGCGAGAGGUAUGCGGAAUGCGUGGUGUAGCGGUGAAAUGCAUAGAUAUCACGCAGAACUCCGAUUGCGAAGGCAGCAUACCGGCGCGCAACUGACGCUCAUGCGCGAAAGCGUGGGUAUCGAACAGGAUUAGAUACCCCAGUAGUC